AGGAACAGUUUUCUUGUACGAUU
rnacentral:snRNA from 1 species